AGCUCAAAUUUGAAAUCUGGCUCUCGGGCCCGAGUUGUAAUUUGUAGAGGAUGCUUUUGAUGCGGUGCCUUCCGAGUUCCCUGGAACGGGACGUCACAGAGGGUGAGAAUCCCGU
rnacentral:rRNA from 1 species